CGGCCGCGACCGGAGCCUGCGCGCCGACCGGCGUCCGGUCCCAAGCCGGCACCUCCGCGAGCUCCACGAUUGGCCGGCGACCCGAGAUUCAGCUGGGACCAUGAGUAGCAGCAAAGCCAUCAAUAGAGGUACUUCAGCAGGUGGAAACUCUGAGGCUCCGGUAAGAAAGAAGAAGCCGCUUGCUAAGAAACGAAACUGGCACUGGCACGGGUGGCCAACCAGGGUUAGACUCCAGGCUUCAGAUUCUAUGUCAGCUUCAAACAACCCUGUGGUGUCUCCUUCAAGUCCUCUGAAGAUCACAUUGGAUUCACCUGGGAUAGUCUCCACUCAGCUCCUCACCUGGGGAAGCUUUAUCUGAUCGACUCCUGCCUCCUCCCUUAUGACUAGGAGUCAUGCCUCAUCUGCCACAAGACCUAACAAGAAUAUGACAUCAACGAACCAGAGAACAAGUUCUCAUCAGACACUGAAUCUGAUGGCUCUGUCUGUCUGUUAGCGAUGCGGAGCCUCGGGAAGCCCAGGCUGGCUUCAAGCUCCAUACACAGCUGAGGAUAACCUUGGGUUUCUGGUCUUGUCUCCACCAGAGUGCUGGGAUUACUGACAUAUGCCAACACACCUGGUCUGUGCCGAGCUUUUCUAGGAGAAACUGGACCAAUUGAGCCAUCGGCAAUUCUGCCUUUUGUGUUGAAUCUUGAGGUUCUAAAACAGAAUUAAACUUCUUUGCUAAGCCUUGUAGUCUUGUGGUAGUUUGCCGCAGCAGCCAAAUGGGCUAAGCGGGCUGCUGCUUGCCUUUUAGACCACGGCUCUGAAAGUCAUUUUCGGUUUUGAGCGUAUCCGUUUUCUCCUAGCUCAUGAGCCCACCCCAUCCUCCUCAUCCUCUGGAAUGUGUGUCUUUCUGAAGCCUGACCUAUGCAGGUCGGGCCUCAAACUCACAGAGACCUCUGAUUA
ensembl:antisense Gm2479 predicted gene 2479